rnacentral:rRNA from 1 species
GAGUGGCGAACGGGUGAGUAAUGAAUCGGAACGUGCCCGGUAGUGGGGGAUAACCAGUCGAAAGACUGGCUAAUACCGCAUACGACCUACGGGUGAAAGCGGGGGACCGUAAGGCCUCGCGCUAUCGGAGCGGACGAUUUCCGAUUAGCUAGUUGGUGAGGUAAAGGCUCACCAAGGCGAUGAUCGGUAGCUGGUCUGAGAGGACGGCCAGCCACACUGGGACUGAGACACGGCCCAGACUCCUACGGGAGGCAGCAGUGGGGAAUUUUGGACAAUGGGCGAAAGCCUGAUCCAGCCAUGCCGCGUGCGGGAAGAAGGCCUUCGGGUUGUAAAACGCUUUUGGCAGGAACGAAACGGCGCGAGCCAAUA